rnacentral:rRNA from 1 species
UACGUAGGGCGCAAGCGUUGUCCGGAAUUAUUGGGCGUAAAGAGCUCGUAGGUGGCUGGUCGCGUCUGCCGUGAAAGCCCCGCAGCUUAACUGCGGGUCUGCGGUGGAUACGGGCCGGCUAGAGGUAGGUAGGGGCAAGUGGAAUUCCUGGGUGUAGCGGUGGAAAUGCGCAGAUAUCAGGAGGAACACCGGUGGCGAAGGC